rnacentral:rRNA from 1 species
UCUCAAAUCAGGUAGGACUACCCGCUGAACUUAAGCAUAUCAAUAAGCGGAGGAAAAGAAACUAACAAGGAUUCCCCUAGUAACGGCGAGUGAAGCGGGAAGAGCUCAAAUUUAAAAUCUGGCGGUGCAUUCCGUCCGAGUUGUAGUCUAGAGAAGCGUCAUCCGCGCCGGACCAUGUACAAGUCUCUUGGAACAGAGCGUCGUAGAGGGUGAGAAUCCCGUCCUUGACAUGGACUCCCGGUGCUUUGCGUUGCGCUCUCGACGAGUCGAGUUGUUUGGGAAUGCAGCUCAAAACGGGUGGUAAAUUCCAUCUAAAGCUAAAUAUUGGCGAGAGACCGAUAGCGAACAAGUACCGUGAGGGAAAGAUGAAAAGCACUUUGGAGAGAGAGUUAAACAGUACGUGAAAUUGUUGAAAUGGAAACGCUUGAAGUCAGUCGCGUUCUCUGGGAUUCAGCCUCGCUUCUGCUUGGUGCAUUUCCUAGUCUACGGGCCAGCGUGGAUUUCGACCGACGGAAAAAGGCUUGGGGAAUGUGGCACCUCCGGGUGUGUUAUAGCCCCUCGUCGCACGCGUCGGUSGGAAUGCGGAGACCUGCGAUGCACGCUUUGUUGUGC